rnacentral:lncRNA from 1 species
GUGCGAGAAAUGACCAGCGGAAGCGCGCAGCCAGCGCGCCUGCGCACGCCACCAUCGCGCAGCACCAUCGCGCGACAACAGCGCGCACGCGCGCGGCAACAUCGCGCGCAGCAUGGGCGCCAGCGCGCGGCACCAUCGCGCGCAGCAAGCAAACCAGCGCGCGGCACCAUCGCGGGAAGCAAGCGCGCCCGCGCGCGGCACCAUCGCGGGCAACAAGCUAGCCAGCGCGCGGCACCAUCGCGCGCAGCAAGCAAACCAGCGCGCGGCACCAUCGCGGGAAGCAAGCGCGCCCGCGCGCGGCACCAUCGCGGGCAACAAGCUAGCCAGCGCGCGGCACCAUCGCGCGCAGCAAGCAAACCAGCGCGCGGCACCAUCGCGGGAAGCAAGCGCGCCCGCGCGCGGCACCAUCGCGGGCAACAAGCUAGCCAGCGCGCGGCACCAUCGCGCGCAGCAAGCAAACCAGCGCGCGGCACCAUCGCGGGAAGCAAGCGCGCCCGCGCGCGGCACCAUCGCGGGCAACAAGCUAGCCAGCGCGCGGCACCAUCGCGCGCAGCAAGCAAACCAGCGCGCGGCACCAUCGCGGGAAGCAAGCGCGCCCGCGCGCGGCACCAUCGCGGGCAACAAGCUAGCCAGCGCGCGGCACCAUCGCGCGCAGCAAGCAAACCAGCGCGCGGCACCAUCGCGGGAAGCAAGCGCGCCCGCGCGCGGCACCAUCGCGGGCAACAAGCUAGCCAGCGCGCGGCACCAUCGCGCGCAGCAAGCAAACCAGCGCGCGGCACCAUCGCGGGAAGCAAGCGCGCCCGCGCGCGGCACCAUCGCGGGCAACAAGCUAGCCAGCGCGCGGCACCAUCGCGCGCAGCAAGCAAACCAGCGCGCGGCACCAUCGCGGGAAGCAAGCGCGCCCGCGCGCGGCACCAUCGCGGGCAACAAGCUAGCCAGCGCGCGGCACCAUCGCGCGCAGCAAGCAAACCAGCGCGCGGCACCAUCGCGGGAAGCAAGCGCGCCCGCGCGCGGCACCAUCGCGGGCAACAAGCUAGCCAGCGCGCGGCACCAUCGCGCGCAGCAAGCAAACCAGCGCGCGGCACCAUCGCGGGAAGCAAGCGCGCCCGCGCGCGGCACCAUCGCGGGCAACAAGCUAGCCAGCGCGCGGCACCAUCGCGCGCAGCAAGCAAACCAGCGCGCGGCACCAUCGCGGGAAGCAAGCGCGCCCGCGCGCGGCACCAUCGCGGGCAACAAGCUAGCCAGCGCGCGGCACCAUCGCGCGCAGCAAGCAAACCAGCGCGCGGCACCAUCGCGGGAAGCAAGCGCGCCCGCGCGCGGCACCAUCGCGGGCAACAAGCUAGCCAGCGCGCGGCACCAUCGCGCGCAGCAAGCAAACCAGCGCGCGGCACCAUCGCGGGAAGCAAGCGCGCCCGCGCGCGGCACCAUCGCGGGCAACAAGCUAGCCAGCGCGCGGCACCAUCGCGCGCAGCAAGCAAACCAGCGCGCGGCACCAUCGCGGGAAGCAAGCGCGCCCGCGCGCGGCACCAUCGCGGGCAACAAGCUAGCCAGCGCGCGGCACCAUCGCGCGCAGCAAGCAAACCAGCGCGCGGCACCAUCGCGGGAAGCAAGCGCGCCCGCGCGCGGCACCAUCGCGGGCAACAAGCUAGCCAGCGCGCGGCACCAUCGCGCGCAGCAAGCAAACCAGCGCGCGGCACCAUCGCGGGAAGCAAGCGCGCCCGCGCGCGGCACCAUCGCGGGCAACAAGCUAGCCAGCGCGCGGCACCAUCGCGCGCAGCAAGCAAACCAGCGCGCGGCACCAUCGCGGGAAGCAAGCGCGCCCGCGCGCGGCACCAUCGCGGGCAACAAGCUAGCCAGCGCGCGGCACCAUCGCGCGCAGCAAGCAAACCAGCGCGCGGCACCAUCGCGGGAAGCAAGCGCGCCCGCGCGCGGCACCAUCGCGGGCAACAAGCUAGCCAGCGCGCGGCACCAUCGCGCGCAGCAAGCAAACCAGCGCGCGGCACCAUCGCGGGAAGCAAGCGCGCCCGCGCGCGGCACCAUCGCGGGCAACAAGCUAGCCAGCGCGCGGCACCAUCGCGCGCAGCAAGCAAACCAGCGCGCGGCACCAUCGCGGGAAGCAAGCGCGCCCGCGCGCGGCACCAUCGCGGGCAACAAGCUAGCCAGCGCGCGGCACCAUCGCGCGCAGCAAGCAAACCAGCGCGCGGCACCAUCGCGGGAAGCAAGCGCGCCCGCGCGCGGCACCAUCGCGGGCAACAAGCUAGCCAGCGCGCGGCACCAUCGCGCGCAGCAAGCAAACCAGCGCGCGGCACCAUCGCGGGAAGCAAGCGCGCCCGCGCGCGGCACCAUCGCGGGCAACAAGCUAGCCAGCGCGCGGCACCAUCGCGCGCAGCAAGCAAACCAGCGCGCGGCACCAUCGCGGGAAGCAAGCGCGCCCGCGCGCGGCACCAUCGCGGGCAACAAGCUAGCCAGCGCGCGGCACCAUCGCGCGCAGCAAGCAAACCAGCGCGCGGCACCAUCGCGGGAAGCAAGCGCGCCCGCGCGCGGCACCAUCGCGGGCAACAAGCUAGCCAGCGCGCGGCACCAUCGCGCGCAGCAAGCAAACCAGCGCGCGGCACCAUCGCGGGAAGCAAGCGCGCCCGCGCGCGGCACCAUCGCGGGCAACAAGCUAGCCAGCGCGCGGCACCAUCGCGCGCAGCAAGCAAACCAGCGCGCGGCACCAUCGCGGGAAGCAAGCGCGCCCGCGCGCGGCACCAUCGCGGGCAACAAGCUAGCCAGCGCGCGGCACCAUCGCGCGCAGCAAGCAAACCAGCGCGCGGCACCAUCGCGGGAAGCAAGCGCGCCCGCGCGCGGCACCAUCGCGGGCAACAAGCUAGCCAGCGCGCGGCACCAUCGCGCGCAGCAAGCAAACCAGCGCGCGGCACCAUCGCGGGAAGCAAGCGCGCCCGCGCGCGGCACCAUCGCGGGCAACAAGCUAGCCAGCGCGCGGCACCAUCGCGCGCAGCAAGCAAACCAGCGCGCGGCACCAUCGCGGGAAGCAAGCGCGCCCGCGCGCGGCACCAUCGCGGGCAACAAGCUAGCCAGCGCGCGGCACCAUCGCGCGCAGCAAGCAAACCAGCGCGCGGCACCAUCGCGGGAAGCAAGCGCGCCCGCGCGCGGCACCAUCGCGGGCAACAAGCUAGCCAGCGCGCGGCACCAUCGCGCGCAGCAAGCAAACCAGCGCGCGGCACCAUCGCGGGAAGCAAGCGCGCCCGCGCGCGGCACCAUCGCGGGCAACAAGCUAGCCAGCGCGCGGCACCAUCGCGCGCAGCAAGCAAACCAGCGCGCGGCACCAUCGCGGGAAGCAAGCGCGCCCGCGCGCGGCACCAUCGCGGGCAACAAGCUAGCCAGCGCGCGGCACCAUCGCGCGCAGCAAGCAAACCAGCGCGCGGCACCAUCGCGGGAAGCAAGCGCGCCCGCGCGCGGCACCAUCGCGGGCAACAAGCUAGCCAGCGCGCGGCACCAUCGCGCGCAGCAAGCAAACCAGCGCGCGGCACCAUCGCGGGAAGCAAGCGCGCCCGCGCGCGGCACCAUCGCGGGCAACAAGCUAGCCAGCGCGCGGCACCAUCGCGCGCAGCAAGCAAACCAGCGCGCGGCACCAUCGCGGGAAGCAAGCGCGCCCGCGCGCGGCACCAUCGCGGGCAACAAGCUAGCCAGCGCGCGGCACCAUCGCGCGCAGCAAGCAAACCAGCGCGCGGCACCAUCGCGGGAAGCAAGCGCGCCCGCGCGCGGCACCAUCGCGGGCAACAAGCUAGCCAGCGCGCGGCACCAUCGCGCGCAGCAAGCAAACCAGCGCGCGGCACCAUCGCGGGAAGCAAGCGCGCCCGCGCGCGGCACCAUCGCGGGCAACAAGCUAGCCAGCGCGCGGCACCAUCGCGCGCAGCAAGCAAACCAGCGCGCGGCACCAUCGCGGGAAGCAAGCGCGCCCGCGCGCGGCACCAUCGCGGGCAACAAGCUAGCCAGCGCGCGGCACCAUCGCGCGCAGCAAGCAAACCAGCGCGCGGCACCAUCGCGGGAAGCAAGCGCGCCCGCGCGCGGCACCAUCGCGGGCAACAAGCUAGCCAGCGCGCGGCACCAUCGCGCGCAGCAAGCAAACCAGCGCGCGGCACCAUCGCGGGAAGCAAGCGCGCCCGCGCGCGGCACCAUCGCGGGCAACAAGCUAGCCAGCGCGCGGCACCAUCGCGCGCAGCAAGCAAACCAGCGCGCGGCACCAUCGCGGGAAGCAAGCGCGCCCGCGCGCGGCACCAUCGCGGGCAACAAGCUAGCCAGCGCGCGGCACCAUCGCGCGCAGCAAGCAAACCAGCGCGCGGCACCAUCGCGGGAAGCAAGCGCGCCCGCGCGCGGCACCAUCGCGGGCAACAAGCUAGCCAGCGCGCGGCACCAUCGCGCGCAGCAAGCAAACCAGCGCGCGGCACCAUCGCGGGAAGCAAGCGCGCCCGCGCGCGGCACCAUCGCGGGCAACAAGCUAGCCAGCGCGCGGCACCAUCGCGCGCAGCAAGCAAACCAGCGCGCGGCACCAUCGCGGGAAGCAAGCGCGCCCGCGCGCGGCACCAUCGCGGGCAACAAGCUAGCCAGCGCGCGGCACCAUCGCGCGCAGCAAGCAAACCAGCGCGCGGCACCAUCGCGGGAAGCAAGCGCGCCCGCGCGCGGCACCAUCGCGGGCAACAAGCUAGCCAGCGCGCGGCACCAUCGCGCGCAGCAAGCAAACCAGCGCGCGGCACCAUCGCGGGAAGCAAGCGCGCCCGCGCGCGGCACCAUCGCGGGCAACAAGCUAGCCAGCGCGCGGCACCAUCGCGCGCAGCAAGCAAACCAGCGCGCGGCACCAUCGCGGGAAGCAAGCGCGCCCGCGCGCGGCACCAUCGCGGGCAACAAGCUAGCCAGCGCGCGGCACCAUCGCGCGCAGCAAGCAAACCAGCGCGCGGCACCAUCGCGGGAAGCAAGCGCGCCCGCGCGCGGCACCAUCGCGGGCAACAAGCUAGCCAGCGCGCGGCACCAUCGCGCGCAGCAAGCAAACCAGCGCGCGGCACCAUCGCGGGAAGCAAGCGCGCCCGCGCGCGGCACCAUCGCGGGCAACAAGCUAGCCAGCGCGCGGCACCAUCGCGCGCAGCAAGCAAACCAGCGCGCGGCACCAUCGCGGGAAGCAAGCGCGCCCGCGCGCGGCACCAUCGCGGGCAACAAGCUAGCCAGCGCGCGGCACCAUCGCGCGCAGCAAGCAAACCAGCGCGCGGCACCAUCGCGGGAAGCAAGCGCGCCCGCGCGCGGCACCAUCGCGGGCAACAAGCUAGCCAGCGCGCGGCACCAUCGCGCGCAGCAAGCAAACCAGCGCGCGGCACCAUCGCGGGAAGCAAGCGCGCCCGCGCGCGGCACCAUCGCGGGCAACAAGCUAGCCAGCGCGCGGCACCAUCGCGCGCAGCAAGCAAACCAGCGCGCGGCACCAUCGCGGGAAGCAAGCGCGCCCGCGCGCGGCACCAUCGCGGGCAACAAGCUAGCCAGCGCGCGGCACCAUCGCGCGCAGCAAGCAAACCAGCGCGCGGCACCAUCGCGGGAAGCAAGCGCGCCCGCGCGCGGCACCAUCGCGGGCAACAAGCUAGCCAGCGCGCGGCACCAUCGCGCGCAGCAAGCAAACCAGCGCGCGGCACCAUCGCGGGAAGCAAGCGCGCCCGCGCGCGGCACCAUCGCGGGCAACAAGCUAGCCAGCGCGCGGCACCAUCGCGCGCAGCAAGCAAACCAGCGCGCGGCACCAUCGCGGGAAGCAAGCGCGCCCGCGCGCGGCACCAUCGCGGGCAACAAGCUAGCCAGCGCGCGGCACCAUCGCGCGCAGCAAGCAAACCAGCGCGCGGCACCAUCGCGGGAAGCAAGCGCGCCCGCGCGCGGCACCAUCGCGGGCAACAAGCUAGCCAGCGCGCGGCACCAUCGCGCGCAGCAAGCAAACCAGCGCGCGGCACCAUCGCGGGAAGCAAGCGCGCCCGCGCGCGGCACCAUCGCGGGCAACAAGCUAGCCAGCGCGCGGCACCAUCGCGCGCAGCAAGCAAACCAGCGCGCGGCACCAUCGCGGGAAGCAAGCGCGCCCGCGCGCGGCACCAUCGCGGGCAACAAGCUAGCCAGCGCGCGGCACCAUCGCGCGCAUUCUGAUAUUCAAAUUGCAAAUUCGAUAGCUAUGAAAUUCGAACAGUAGAUUUUUUAUAUUUGAUAUUUUUUUGGACUCCGCAAGAAUCCAUCGAUAUUUCCGAUUCAAUCUGCUCUUUCCUAGGCGUUCCAUACUAAGAUACUAAGAAAGGGUGAUUCCAAGUUCCAAGACAAGAGCUGUUUCCAAUAUGUUUCUUUUUCUUUGAUUCCCGAACCGAACACAAGAAGAUCAAGUUUGAUCUCUAUCUAAUUUAUAUCUACGGUACAGCAGUCUUUUUCUUUGAUUCCCGAACCGAGCACAAGAAUGGAAUUAAAUUACUGAAUUAAAUUAUUAUAUUCAUUAUUAAAUAAUUAAUAUAAUUAAAAAGGCUUUGCAGAACAACCAAAUAUUUUAAUAAAAUACCAAUGCGUGAAUAAAAUCUAUGUCGAGGAAAUUAUUAAAUCAGAACAUUUAAACUACUUAUUUCGCAAACAUGCUUUACUAUUAUAAUUAACUAUGAAAAUAUGUUUUGUAUAUUCCACUCACAGUGACGGUGUUCACGCUCGAUUAUCGUCCACAUCCGCGAACUAGUUCUCACUCGCGGAUCCUCCUUAAUCAAGGAAACGACAAAAUUAAUUAUUUUCCGUAAAUUGGAGUUAUGACUAAAUUUAUGCAAUAAACUCGAAACGAACAUCUAUCCAUAAUUUACAACUCCCGUGUCGAUAAAAUUACUAAAAUGCCCUCAAGUCCGUAAAUCAUUAAAAUAUUCUGAAAUCGUAAAUCACCGAAUUACCCUCAGAAUCGUAAUUACACCCAAUCCUCAAUUCUAGGAUUUACUAAAAUAUCAACAUGCUUAGAAAUUACAAAAUUGCCCUCGGAGUGUGAAAUUACCGAAAUGCCCUUGCCGGUCAACGGUCACUGAAAUUUGGUCAACACUGGCCGGGAAGCACGGGUUAGACACUUUUGGCCAAGCUGAGUUCAAUGGCACCGGCGGUGAGCUCCAACGCGCGGCAACGAUGCCGGAAUCUAGCUCGACAGCCGUGAAUUUCCAACAAUUGGCCGGCGGCGAAACAAUGACUCCCGGUGACUGUGGAUGGUCGGAAAUGGAAGAGGCAAUCAUGGGGAACAAAAUCCAACCAGUCGUGUCACCCAAAAUCGGCGAAAAUCUCGGCGGAGCAAAGUGGAAAAGUCACGGGUUUUCAAGCUUUGGUCGCCGGCAUUAUGGUUGUUUUUCGGUGACGUGGACGGCAUGGGUAUGAUGGCCGGUCUUCAAGCUUCAUAUUGGUACCAAGCUUGACCGGAACGGUGGCCGAAAAUGGAUGUUACGACCGGGUCAAGGUCGCGGGUUUCGGGUCGAGGUUUUGGGUCUGUAAUUAGGUCGGUUUAGCAGCUUCCCUUCACUCUCUCAUAGGUGCAUGUGUUUACCUUGUUUCCAGCUCUUUCCUUUUACUUAUAAAAUCCUUAACUGCCUCAUUUUCAUUUUAAAUUUCUACAUAUGUUACAGAUAUCCUAUUGUAUGUUGAAUAUGUACGGAUAUCAACACUUAUCUUUUUGAAGCUAUCAAAAGAUAGACUAUAGUUUGCAACAAGAACAAUGUAGGUUGAGUUUUGUCGGUAGAAAGAACUUAGACAUAAAAUUUAGUGAAGAUGCCUAAUUUGGAAAAUUUCAUAUACGUUUAGUGAACGAAAAAGGUUGAAUGUAUUUAAAAUAGCACAAAAUUUAAUGAAAAAAUUCUUCGUGUUCAGCAUUAACUCCUGCUGCGGAAAUGCGAGGUUGAGCAAUUUCUAAUAUUCUGGUAGCUUCAACUUCUGGAGAAAUAUAAAUGUGGCGUAAACAAAUAUAAAGAAAAUAGGACAUAAUAAUUUACGUAGUACGGUGUAAGGCCUACGUCCAUGGGCAAACACUGGAAGAUAAUUCUACUAAUGAUGAGAAUUUACAAAAGUGGGAGAAACUCUCAACACCCCAAACCCCAAUACACUCAAAUGGAACCUCACUAGAACACUCAAGUGGAAGCUCUCUCAAAUCUCUCAAAUCGCUUCACUUGCAAUUGCUCUCUACUUCUCUCAAAUUGGGAUGCUUACAAUUGCAAAAUGCUUCUCUAUUUAUAGAGAGCAUUUUGUGCCGGAAUCUAGCUCGACAGCCGUGAAUUUCCAACAAUUGGCCGGCGGCGAAACAAUGACUCCCGGUGACUGUGGAUGGUCGGAAAUGGAAGAGGCAAUCAUGGGGAACAAAAUCCAACCAGUCGUGUCACCCAAAAUCGGCGAAAAUCUCGGCGGAGCAAAGUGGAAAAGUCACGGGUUUUCAAGCUUUGGUCGCCGGCAUUAUGGUUGUUUUUCGGUGACGUGGACGGCAUGGGUAUGAUGGCCGGUCUUCAAGCUUCAUAUUGGUACCAAGCUUGACCGGAACGGUGGCCGAAAAUGGAUGUUACGACCGGGUCAAGGUCGCGGGUUUCGGGUCGAGGUUUUGGGUCUGUAAUUAGGUCGGUUUAGCAGCUUCCCUUCACUCUCUCAUAGGUGCAUGUGUUUACCUUGUUUCCAGCUCUUUCCUUUUACUUAUAAAAUCCUUAACUGCCUCAUUUUCAUUUUAAAUUUCUACAUAUGUUACAGAUAUCCUAUUGUAUGUUGAAUAUGUACGGAUAUCAACACUUAUCUUUUUGAAGCUAUCAAAAGAUAGACUAUAGUUUGCAACAAGAACAAUGUAGGUUGAGUUUUGUCGGUAGAAAGAACUUAGACAUAAAAUUUAGUGAAGAUGCCUAAUUUGGAAAAUUUCAUAUACGUUUAGUGAACGAAAAAGGUUGAAUGUAUUUAAAAUAGCACAAAAUUUAAUGAAAAAAUUCUUCGUGUUCAGCAUUAACUCCUGCUGCGGAAAUGCGAGGUUGAGCAAUUUCUAAUAUUCUGGUAGCUUCAACUUCUGGAGAAAUAUAAAUGUGGCGUAAACAAAUAUAAAGAAAAUAGGACAUAAUAAUUUACGUAGUACGGUGUAAGGCCUACGUCCAUGGGCAAACACUGGAAGAUAAUUCUACUAAUGAUGAGAAUUUACAAAAGUGGGAGAAACUCUCAACACCCCAAACCCCAAUACACUCAAAUGGAACCUCACUAGAACACUCAAGUGGAAGCUCUCUCAAAUCUCUCAAAUCGCUUCACUUGCAAUUGCUCUCUACUUCUCUCAAAUUGGGAUGCUUACAAUUGCAAAAUGCUUCUCUAUUUAUAGAGAGCAUUUUGUACCAAGUUGGGUUCAAUUGGCCAAAACGUUGAGCUGGAACUUGCAUUGCAUGCAUUAAAGUUAUGCAUAUUUAUCAACAAUUGCAUGUGUAAUUUGUUGCCAUCUUUAAUUUUCAGCAUCACCGAAUUGCAUGAACAAGAUUUUUAAAACCUUUUUCAUGCUUUCAAAACCUAACUUUGUCUUUUCUAUUCAAGUCAAAAUUUCAACAACUCCAUGGAAUAAGAGAUUUUGGUGGGCACAAGCUAUAAUUUUCUUAUCUUUUCUUAUCUUUUUGAAGCUGUCAAAAGAUAAACUAUAGUUUGCAAUAAGAACAAUGCUGGCUAAGUGUUGGCGGUAGAAAGAAUUUAGAGAUAAUUUUUAAUAAAGAUGGUUAAUUUGAAAAUUUUAUAUGCGUUUAGUGAAUGAAUAAUGCUGCAUGUAUUUAAAAUAGCACAAAAUUUAAUACAAAAGCAUAAAAAAAUUAAAAAAUUCUUGUGUAGUGGUGAAUUCUUUUCUUGUAAUGAAUUUUUUUUUUUUUUUUUAGUGAUGGCAUACUAUUUUUUAUACCAUCUUUUUUUUUCUUAUACAUUGGUAUUGUCAGCCAAGCCAUGAAUAAAUGGUAAAAUAUUGAUGUGAAAAAUCUCUGCCACCUUUUCGAAUUUUAAUCUUUUAGCUCUCUAACUUUUGUCAAAUUUAAAUUUGAAUAGCCAACAAAAUAAAAUUAAUUGAAAACUCUACCUCCGUACUCCGAGUGCAAUUAUUUUGACUCAAAUGAAUGUCUUAAAAUUUUGAAAAACAGGCCAGCACAUUGAAUAUAUAAAAUGUGCCUGCAUAUAUAUCACACCCUGCCAAUCACGGUGUUAUAAUAAUUGAAUCAUUGAUCAGUCAAUAUAUCUUAUUGUCCUUUUCUCGUGCGCAUGCAUCAUUACGAAGUCAAUGCUAACAUAUAAUAAUUGAAUCAUUGAUCAGUAAAUAUAUCUUAUUGACCUUUUCUCAUGCGCAUGCAUCAUUACAAAAUCAAUGCUAACUAUUUUUUAUUUUUGUUGUGGUGAAUUGUUUUCUUGUAAUGAAAUUUUUUAUUUUUUUUAUUGAUGGCAUACUAUUUUUUAUACUAUCUUUUUUUCUUAUGCAUCGGUAUUGUCAGCCAACAGAUGAAUAAAUGGUAAAAUAUUAAUGUGAAAAUUUUCUGCCUCCUUUUCCAAUUUUGUUUUUAAAAAAAUCAGUGAUAGAUGAUUUUAAAUUAAUUUUUAACUCUCUAAAUUUUAUCAAAUUUAAAUUUUAAUAGCCACAAAAUAAAAUUACUUGACAACUCUACCUCUGUACUCUGGGUACAAUUAUUUUGACUCAAAUUAAUGUCUUAAAAUUUUGAAAAACAGACCAGCACAUUGAAUAUAUAAAAUGUGCCUCUAUAUAUAUCACACCCUGCCAAUCACGGUGUUAUAAUAAUUGAAUCAUUGAUCAGUCAAUAUAUCUUAUUGUCCUUUUCUCGUGCGCAUGCAUCAUUACGAAGUCAAUGCUAACAUAUAAUAAUUGAAUCAUUGAUCAGUAAAUAUAUCUUAUUGACCUUUUCUCAUGCGCAUGCAUCAUUACAAAAUCAAUGCUAACUAUUUUUUAUUUUUGUUGUGGUGAAUUGUUUUCUUGUAAUGAAAUUUUUUAUUUUUUUUAUUGAUGGCAUACUAUUUUUUAUACUAUCUUUUUUUCUUAUGCAUCGGUAUUGUCAGCCAACAGAUGAAUAAAUGGUAAAAUAUUAAUGUGAAAAUUUUCUGCCUCCUUUUCCAAUUUUGUUUUUAAAAAAAUCAGUGAUAGAUGAUUUUAAAUUAAUUUUUAACUCUCUAAAUUUUAUCAAAUUUAAAUUUUAAUAGCCACAAAAUAAAAUUACUUGACAACUCUACCUCUGUACUCUGGGUACAAUUAUUUUGACUCAAAUUAAUGUCUUAAAAUUUUGAAAAACAGACCAGCACAUUGAAUAUAUAAAAUGUGCCUCUAUAUAUAUCACACCCUGCCAAUCACGGUGUUAUAAUAAUUGAAUCAUUGAUCAGUGCGGUUCAAUGAAGCAAUGGCCAGUGAUUCUGAAAUAAUGACAAGCUUUGUUGUCAAAUCCGAGUGUAAGCAAAUCUUUGAAGGGUUGGGCUCAUUGGUUGACGUAGGAGGUGGCAACGGAACGUUUUCCAGAAUCAUCUCCGAAGCAUUCCCCGGCAUCAAAUGCACUGUACUCGACCUCCCGCAUGCUGUUGCUAACCUGCCUGAGGCCAUUUUCCAGAAUCAUCUCUGAAGCAUUCCCUGGUAUCAAAUGCACCGUACUCGACCUCCCGCAUGUUGUUGCUAACCUGCCUGAGGCCGACAACUUGAAAUACAUAGCAGAUGCCUUUCUCUUCAAGGUAAGAUCCAAUUUUAAAAAUUUAAAACAACAAGUUAACCGUUUUCGUGAAUACCAGAUGAUUUAUUUCAAUUGUUCUGUGCGCAGCUCAUAUAUCCGGACGUUUGAAUCUUACUAAGUCAGGAUUUGAAUAAUUCAAAUCAGAUUUAAAGUAACUGCAAAAUGCUAUACAACUCUAAAUUUAAUUAACAUUUGGAUUUUAGAGAAUCUGGAAGUUUAGGCUUGAGCACGAUCAUUUACGUAAUUAUUCUCUAGUGCGGUUGCCCGCAUUUUUUCAAGUGUAGAUUUAAAGUUUUACUAUAUUGGUAAAGGCUUGUAUAACAUUAAAACUUAUUUUUUCAGAACUUAUAUGUAUAGGUAUAUAUGUGUGUGUAGGCGGAGUAGUAAAACAUUUUAUGUACGACACUAUAAAAUUAUUUUCCAAUAUUUAAAACAACGAAUCUGCAUUCUAAAAAGUGUGGUUUGUGUAUGUAUGUGUGUGUAUAGAUAGAUAGAUAGACGCACGCACGAACUGUUAGGAUUUUAUUAAAAAGAAAAAGUACUUAAAAUGCUAGAUCGAACAACGGAACUGCACUAUAAAUGGUGGAUAUUAAUUAAAUGAGUGAUUGGCAUGGUUGCAGUUGGUUUUUCAUGGAUUAGGUGAUGAGGAUGGGUUGAAGAUACUGAAGAAACGCAGAGAAGCAAUUGCAAGCAAUGGUGAGAGAGGAAAGGUAAUAAUAAUAGAUAUCGUUAUCAAUGCAGAGGAAGAGGAACACGAAUUAACCGAAACAAAGUUCUUGUUUGACAUUAUGAUGAGCGUUAACGCUACUGGAAAAGAGAGAACUGAAAGUGAAUGGGCAAAGCUAUUCUUCGAUGCUGGUUUCAGUCACUACAAAAUACACUACUAGAAAAAUGGGCUUUACUGACACCAAUUUAGUGUCAGUAAUUACUUUUGCUGACACUUGUUAAUUGUGUCAGUAAUGCUCAAGCCAAAACACACUGACACUAAUCUUUGGUGUCAGUGAUUUUUGCGUCAGUAUUUUGUGUCACUAUAGUAUCACCACCAUAGUGAUACUAUGAUGUUAGUAUCAAUUGAUACUAUUUUUAUGUCAGUAUUUUGUGUCACUAGAGAGUCACAAGGAUAGUGACUCAAUCGCGUUAGCAUUUAAUGAUACUAUUUACAUUAGCAUUUAAUGAUACUAUUUACAUGUCACUGAUUUAUGUGACUACAGUAUUAGGAAUCCACUGACUCAGUAACAUCAAAAAUUCUUAUCGUCAUUUAAAUAAUUAGUGUCAGUAUUAACGGUGCCUUCCCUCUAUUCGCGCUCGUUAUCCUCCCACCUCUCGAAAGUGGAUGCCCCAUUUCCGUAGUCGUGGGUGGUUGCGUGGCCUUCGUGCCUUGAUUCUCGGACUGGAGAGCACGCCUCGCCAACUGUCGUUGACCGGGUCUCCUCGACUCAGCCCUUAGCAGGAAUGUAGCAAGAAUGGCUUUAUGCUUCCAACAGGAGAUUGGCCUCGUGGAUGACGUGCUCGUGGAUGAGCAGGAUAUUCCUGCUCCUGCUCCCCUGGAUACCAGACUCUUACAAGAUAUACCUGCUCGAGGAACCCUAUUACCAGAUGUCUGCUCAUCACUGCUGGUCUUCGUCGAAGCAUAUCCCACAAACACCGGUGCCCCAGUUUCUGGUGUUGGGUAACGUAGUAACCCGACAGUAAAAACUUGAUAGUUCUUGCUUGCGCAGGAUAGGAAAAAGGCUGCCAAGAGUCGUGUCGUAUUUAAUUGCGGACGAGGUGAUGUGGCAAAAAUCUACCCCUCUAUUUGAAUUUCAAACCAACGGUUACGAGACCCUCGGGAUUUGGUGUUGUUAAAUGCUGGCAACCCAAGAGUCCAUUCUCCAUUAGGAAAACCCAAAACCUCUCCAAAGGAAAAUUCAUCAUUUACUCUGUCUAUGUCCCUGUCUCUCCGGCAAAGAAGUUCCGGUAUAAAGGCCUCCAUCCUUGUCCUUCUUCGAAUGAACUACUAUUUCAGGUAUUACUUCUAUCUCCUCGGUCUCGGAUAGCUGUAGAUAAUUUCUUUUCUCUUUGCUUUGCUUGGGUAAUAGUUGGUGGUGGUGUUCUGGUUAUAGCUUAGGGAAUGUCGAAAGGUAAAGAGAAGGUCAUUGAGGUUGAUGAUGAUGAGUUGGACUUCCUGCCUAGUCUGCUCACCGAUCCUGCUUUUGACCCCGGGAUCCCCUUAGAACCCAUUAGACCUAGUGUUGGUACUAGCGCUAGGAGGAUGUCCCCCCAAACAACCACCUUGAGCGGAAAUAGCGGUAAGGAGGGGCCUUCUGGCUCGGAAAACACCCUGAGUGAGGAUCGAAGAGGUGAUUCUGGUGAGGUGUCCCCAUCAGGAACAUCGUGACCAGAAGAGCGGAGUACAGUAGGAGGUAGAGCCCUAUCGCGAGAUUACGCUAUUGAUUACAUGACGUGCACGACCACGUUUGACGAGCUCACUGACCUCCGGCUUAGGUAUAGCAUUCCUGGUGAAAUACCUCUUAAGAUCCCAGGAAAGAAGGAUACCCCUAGCCGGCCUCCUAGGGGAUAUGUUACCCUGUUUCUAUAUAGCUUUAAGUAUGGGCUGAGGUGUCCCUUGCAACCCUACUUUGCCCGGAUACUUAACGGGCUACAUCUAGCUCCUGGUCAGCUGAACCCCAACGGGUGGAAAGUACUCUCUGGUCUGUUCAUAUUGUGGGACAGAUGUUGCCAAAGCGAGCCCACAGUUGAUAAGGUGAAGCACCUGUACCAGCUAAAGAACAGCCCCAAAGAUGCCGGCUGGUACUACUUCCAAUCUAGUACCAAGACCAGGAAACCCAUAACCGACCUUCCUACUGGUGGUGGUGGGAAUUGGAAGAAAAAUUUCUUUUUUGCUGGGGGGUCCUUGGGGUCAAGUUGCACAAAUUGACAGGAAGGAUUAUCGCGUCCCACCCCAUUUCGUGGUCCCAGGUUGCCUGCUAGCUUUAGAUGUCUUGUAUCCAUAAUUGUUCUCGCUAUACUAGUUUGUCUCUAACCAAGUGUCUGUUUGUGUUGCAGGUUCUUGGGGUGUUCACUUCCCGCUCAAACCUGAUCAGCUCAAAUGGGUCGAGGCUGUACUAGCCAAUUCCUGCUCGAGCCGAGAGCUGAUAACUACUUAUAACCUGCCCGAGUCUUGUUUGGUGCCUCCCGGCCAUAAGAUGGAGGAUGCUGUGAUUGGGGCUCUGACUAGGAAACGUUCUUGACCUCCAACAACCAAGCGGGACCAGAAUAAAGAUGCUCCUACUGCAAAGCGGGUGAACAUUGUGCAACAGGUUGCUCCCUUGCAGACUCUACCUCCUCCUCCUCCUUCCAAAGUCGGAGAGACUAGUGGAGCUGCCACUGAUCCUGCUUCCUCUUCUCCUCCUGUCGGGCCUAGAUCUCGUUUAUCUGACCACCGAGCAGAACACUUGGUCCCCUAUCUCAAUGAGCUAUCUAAACUCAUGAGCAAAAAAGACCUGGAGGACUUUGAUGGCUGCACCCUGGGUGAGCUGGUGGGGGUCAUGCAGUAUAGCGCUUUCCACCUCAGCUGCAUGACCACUUACUAUAAGGCCAAGGUUGGCCGUUACGACCGGAAGAUGAAGGAGGACAUUCAAUCGGCGACGACCAGAGCCGAUGCUGCCGAGAAGAAAGCGGGAGACUUGAAUCUCAAGAAUCUGAAGCUGAUAGAGCAAGAAUCUCUUGCUCAAGCAAAGGCCAUCACUCUCGAGGAAGAGCUGACUAAGGUCAAGGAGGAUCUGCAAAGGAAGAAAAUUAUGUACGAGGCUCAGCUCGAAUCUCUCCGCAAUUCCCACCGAGUUCAGGUCGAGAACUUGGAGAAGGAAGCCGACAACCAGUACGACCAGGGACUUCGGCAUUCCUAUCGUUGCAUCAUGGCCAUCCUCAAGAAGCAGCAUCCUGAUCUGAAGAUGGAUGACCUUGCGACUGGUGUUGCUCAACAUAUGGACGAGGAGGCGGCGAAGGAGGAUGCCAAAUGGGUGGAGCCAAUCGUGGUUGAGGAGGAAAACACUCUUCCUCGUGCAGUCCCUGCUGACGUUGGUGAGGCGAGUACCCCCCCGAACGUAACUGGUGACACCCCCCCUGCCCCUGAAGUGGACCAGCCAACCGAAGUUGCUCGGCUUACUGAUCCGCCGUCCUCCUGAACUUGUCUUGCGUUGUAAUUGCUUUUUGAGCAUUGUAUGUAACACAUUGCAGACUUUUAAGAGCUUAAUAAAAUUGUUCUUAUUUGCUUCCUCGCAUUGGAAUUUUAAUUUAUUUAUCCAUUUGGCUUCUGACCUCGUCACAGAGGAGGCCUUGGAGUUGACGAGCUUUCUCAUGCCUUAGAUAAUUUUCCCAGUGUUGGGGAGUCUGCUAGCCUUAACUUGGCCGAGCAGAUCCCGGCAUGCUUGGCUUCUGGUCUCGCCAUAAACAGGCUUUGAGACUUGACGAGCCUUUGCAUGCCUUGGUAGAUUCUUCAAUGAUUUGGGAUUCUGCUCGCCUUCGCGUGGUCGAGCAGAUCCUGGCACACUUGGCUUCUGGUCUCGCCAUAAACAGGCUUUGAGACUUGGUGAGCCUUUGCAUGCCUUAGUAAAUUCUUCAAACCUUGGGAUUCUGCUCGCCUUCUCGUGGUCGAGUAGAUCCUGGCAUGCUUGGCUUCUGGUCUCGCCAUAAACAGGCUUUGAGACUUGGUGAGCCUUUGCAUGCCUUAGUAAAUUUUUCAAUGCAUGGGAUUCUGCUCGCCUUCGCGUGGUCGAGCAGAUCCUGGCACACUUGGCUUCUGGUCUCGCCAUAAACAGGCUUUGAGACGGGAUUCUGCUCGCCUUCGCGUGGUCCUGGUCUCGCCAUAAAUAGGCUUUGAGACUUGGUGAGCCUUUGCAUGCCUUUGUAAAUUCUUCAAUGGCACAGUUGACUGAAAUUCCUCAUUGAUUCACUUAUUAUUGAAUUCGGCUUACAUGAGAUUGCUUUGAAAUAAGAAAUAAACAAUAAAAAACAACGAGCACGAACAGAAAUAACUUUAAAACAUGAACAAGUCUUACUGGAAAUAUUUCCUGAGGUGUGCCGCGUUCCAUGGGCGUUUCACCUCGUGGCCAUCCAUACGAACCAGCUUGUAAGCUCCGGGUCCAACUAGCUGCUUGACCCUAUAUGGCCCCUUCCAAUUUGGUCCGAGUCUUUCGUGUUCUGAUCGUUUUUCCCGGGUUCUCUGGUCCCAGACUUACUGUCUCCAGCUCCUCUACAGGUUCUUGUCUGCCAUUCUUAUUUUCCACUCGGGUAUCAAGGGAUGUUAUCUGCAUUGCUUCCCUUGCUGCCGAGGAGUAACAGUUUCGUGCGAUUCUCUGGUCUCCUCGUACCACUCCAACUACCACAUUCACCCAGUACUUGAGAGCUAGAUAAUGGUUGGACAGUACUGCUUUGCUCAUCCUCAGAAAUGGCCGACCUAGGAUCAUCUAGUAAGGACCCUCUUCAUCAACCACUACAAAAUCCAGUAUCAUGGUCCUUUCUGUCGGGGAGCUUCCGAUCGUGAUAGGCAGCUCGACCACCAGAGGGACCAACUUUCCUCCUCCAAAUCCCUUCAAGGAGGUGUUGGUGUGCUCCAAUCUCAGGUCUGCUAUUCCCAUCUCCUCCAGAGUGGAUUUAAACAACACAUCAACUGAGCUCCCGGUGUCAACCAGUAUCCGGUCAAACUUCUUGCUAGCAACAGUAGCUUUGAUGACUAAGGCAUCCUCGUGUGGGUAUAAGAUCUCUUCUUCAUCCUCAUCUGUCCACAUGAUUGGCACUUGCCUGACUCUUGCUCGUUUGGCUGCUGGGGUGUUGAAGAAUACCUCUUUACUAGUCAUGGCAUAUCUAGCAUAGUUUUUCCUCGAUCUGUUGGAAUCUCCAGCCAAUGUUGGGCCCCCAACAAUCACCCUUACUGUGGGCUGCUCGUGCCUCAAGUUUCUAUCACUCUGCUCCCCUUCACAUGUCGAAGCCAUCAUCGGGAGAGUCCUAUCUAUAAACUCGUCCAGGUACCGAUUUCUCACCAAAUCUUCAACCUGGGUCUUGAGAUCUCUGCAUUCUGUAGUGGUAUGGUCAUGAGUGCCAUGGAACUUACAAUAGAGUCCCCUGUCCCUCCUGCCGGGUAGCUUUGUUAUUAGGGCAGGGAGGUACAGUAGUCCCCAGUCCUUUAUAGCCUCGUACACCUCGUCCAGGGGCACCUUCAAGGAGGUAUACCGCCCAUAGUCCUGGUUCUGGUCGAUCAUGUGCACUGCCCUUUCUCUAUUUGUGCCAUUCUGAGUUGGAGGCGGUGGCAGCGCUUCUGGUCUGCUCCCUCUACUACCGUGGGAGUGUUGAUGAAGACCACCAUAUGCCGAGUCAUGCCUUCUCCAAGGCUCCCUAGCGGGUGAGCGAGGAGGUUGCGCCCUGCUGUGCUGAUACUGUGGUAGCCUCUGAUGAGGCUGGCAAGUGGUUACCCGACCUCCUGCACCACUACCUGAGGCCUGGUGGUCCCUCCUCCUGAUCGGCCCAUUCCUUGGUAAUGCUCUCUUCUCUUUCUUUCCCAACCCUUCUAGCUGAUCUGUCUUAAUCCGUGCUGCCUUUUCUUCCUCAAUCUCUAUGUCCCUCUUAGCCUGCUCGUAUGCAGCUGCAUAAGUCUGAACAACUGGGCUUCUCAAGUUGUACCACAGCCUUCCUAUCUUCACCCCUUCUUUCAAUCCCUUUAAUGUCUGAGGAUGGUUGAAGGCUCCCAAAUCGAGGAUAGCACGAUGAAACCUCUUGAUGAAUUCCCGAAGGGUUUCUUCCUCUCUCUGAUUCAUGCUCGUCAGCUCCAUCAUAUCAUCUUCCGGUGCCAUUGCCCCACGAAACUGCUCUGCGAAUUCCUGGUACAUCUGCUCGAAGGUUUUAAUGCUCCCCCGAGGAAGCUUCCUGUACCACUCGCGUGCUCGUCCCUCUAGCGAUAGUGGGAACACCCUGCAUCUUUGGGCUUGAGAUAGUCCUUGCACCCCGGUUAUGUCGUUAAAGCCCUCUAGGUGCACCAACGGGUCCGUUCGCCCCGAAUAUCUGAGGUAUAGGAGGCGAAAAUCUCUUGGGAUGACUGCCCUCAUGAUCUCUGCCGAGAGCGGUGAUUCUCCGUCCAACAUUAUCCUCCAACCAGGAGCUCUGCUCCUUCCUUGCAUGUCAUCAAUUACCUGAGCUAGUCUGCGCACUUCCUCCUCCAGCUACACUGCACGCCCAGGGUCAUGUGCUGCAACUUGAUCCCGCUCUUGCUCUACAUCAUGUAAGUGUUGCCUGAGCUCUGUUCCUCUGCAUUUGCCACCCCGUCGUCCUCAUCAAAAAUCUGUCUUGUUGGGGAUUGCUCAUCCUCUCUAUGAAUUUCUCCCCGCAGAGAUAAGUUACUUCUCUCACCACCAAAUCUCCUGGUGGUUUGACUUCUCCUCGUACUAUCGUGACAUGGUGCCACUCCACUACCUCUCAUCCUUUCCUCCUGGGUUCCCCUUUGUUCACUCCGCAGCUCAUGUAGGAUGGUUGUCAGGGUCUCCAUCUGCUUUUCCAUCUUUUCCAUCCGGUCAAACAUGGCUUUUUCUCGUGCUUCACUGGCUAUCUCCCUCAGCGUCACGGAAUCGUUAAGCCUCGUAUCACCCCCUUGUGCACUACUUCCUCCUGCCUCUAUUGUUUUUCCACUUGCUUUACUCCUCUUCUUGCUGUCAACAGAAGCUUUUUACUCAGCUCCCCACAGACGGCGCCAAAAUGUUGAUGCGAGAUUCUGGUUGCUCUUUGUUUACGACCAAGAUCUCUACUCGAUCAACUCCACCUCGAUCAGGAUCUCUCCUCGUAAGGUUUCUUCUCCAGAAGUUCCUGCGUACACAGAAGCAGGUCAGAGUACGCCGGUUGUUUUCCCGGCGUAAACCCCCCGACGCUCAAGUCAGAUAUGAAGGUUCUGGGAACGCUAGCCCCAAAUCUUAUGGCUUUUCUUUUUUAGUCUCAGUUCUUUAGAGCUUUCUUUAUCUGUGUUAUAAUGUCAAAAGUUCUAACCCUUUUACCUUCGUUGGCUACCUUUUUAUAGGCCACCUCUGAACUCGGGCCUUCCCUCUAUUCGCGCUCGUUAUCCUCCCACCUCUCAAAAGUGGAUGCCCCAUUUCCGUAGUCGUGGGUGGUUGCGUGGCCUUCGUGCCUUGAUUCUCGGACUGGAGAGCACGCCUCGCCAACUGUCAUUGACCGGGUCUCCUCGACUCAACCCUUAGCAGGAAUGUAGCAGGAAUGGCUUUAUGCUUCCAACAGGAGAUUGGCCUCGUGGAUGACGUGCUCGUGGAUGAGCAGGAUAUUCCUGCUCCUGCUCCCCCGAAUACCAGACUCUUACAAGAUAUACCUGCUCGAGGAACCCUAUUACCAGAUGUCUGUUCAUCACUGCUGGUCUUCGUCGAAGCAUAUCCCACAAACAUAUGACUUUAAUUUACGCAAUUCCCUAGUAAAUGAAAGUAAAUACUUGUCAAUUUUACAUAAAUAAUGAGAAAUAAUUUUCAUUUAAAAUAUUAACAUAAUAUAUAAUUACUUUUCAAUCGGAUACAUCCACCGAUAUUGUACUGGUUCAGCAAUCUUUGCCUCAUCUGCCAAAUGAAUUGGCAAAUGGACCAUAAUAUCAAAGAAUGAUGGUGGAAAUAUAUUUUCAAGAUGGUAUAAAAUUAAAGUGAUACGAGAUUUAAGUUGACCAAACUCUUCAACUGUUCCAACUUUAGAACAAAUAUCUCUGAAGAAAUUGCAUAAUUCAAUCAGCAUUGAGCUAACAUUUUUUUGAAAUGAAAAAACUUUCAGAAAAUUUCAAAAGAAAGCGGAAAAUAUAUAUCAAUAAUUGAAAUGAAAAAAGUUGGAAGGAGGUAUCUAAAAGUCAAUUUCAACGCCAAUGAUGUGUAAUUCCACAUGAGCAAACUAGUUAAUUGCCAUGAGAAAACGAAAAGAAAAGAAAAGAAAAGAAAGGUGCAUAAAAUUUCAUUUGACAAUAACAGCCACGUUCUCCCCCCUUUGGUAUCAUUUGUGCAUUUUAUUGUCUUUGAAGCAUGUGAUUUUUUGUUUUGUUUCGAACUAUGUUGGUGUUGUUUUAAUUUAUAUAUUAAGAAAAGUGAUUGUUAUGUGGAAGAAAUAUUUUGUAGAAAUAAUGGGAUUCAUUCUAAACCUAGACAAUGACUAACUAGACAUCACUACAAGAAAAUGGUUCAUUUCCGAGGGCAAGUACCCUUGGAAAUAGACAAAGACCGUCGGAAAAACUCAUUUUCGAGCGGGACAUGCCGUCAAUCGUCAUAGUAUUAAGUCUAAUCAGAAUUGUUUCCGAUGUUUCCAAUGAGUCGUCGGAGAAAAAAAAUAUUUCCGAGGACGUUUCCAUCGAAAAUGGAAUUAAAUGCCCUCCAAAAUAAGAUAAGAUAAACCUAGUUAUUUUUAUUUUCAACGGCAACUUGCCCUUAGAAAUAAAAGAUAGACUGUCGGAAAUAGACUUAUUUUGUUGUUUAAUGACCCCCUUUAUUUUAUUUAAUAAUAUUAUUUAAUUAAUUAAUUUUUUUUAUUGUUGAAAUAUCUAUAUUAGGGAAGUAAAGUAACAAACAUAAUAAUAAUAUACGAAAUAUACUAAAUGUAACUUCAUUAAUUUCAAAAAUUCAUAAAAUCACAUUCAUCAUUCAAAAAUCCAACAAAAAUAUCAAUUUUAUAGUAUCUUUUACAGAAAAAAAAAAAUAGAGUAAAAGCUCAUUUAGUCCUUGUAUUUUAAUAUUAGUAUCCAUUUAGUCCCUAUAUUUUUAAAAAUACCUCAAAACAUCCCUGCAGUUAAAGUAUUGAUACCCCUACAAUUACUUUUUAUUUCUGUUGGCUUACUUUUACAAUAUUACCCUUUUAUAAUUUUUUUUGUUUGGACAUCAAUAAAAAGAAAAUAAUUAAAUUACCAAUUUAACCCUAAAAAAUAAAAAAAUUAUAUUAAUUUUUUUGCAAGCACCAUUUGAACACUUGGUAGUUUGCAUACAAUUUUUGACAAUUAAAACUGCUGUACCGUACAUCCGCCUUGGCCGUACAGCAGCAAUACAGGGACUAAAUAAGCUUUUACCCAAAAAAAUAUACCAAAGUAUAUACAAAAUGAUAUCACCAUAUCUUACUAUAUGUUCAAUCUGCUGUACCGUACAUCCGCCUUGGCCGUACAGCAGAUCCGUACUAUAUGUUCAAUCAUCCUCUAAAACAACUUCAGUUUCUGAAUCGUUUGCCUCAACUUCAUCAUCCUCAUGCCCAUCAUCAUCUUCUCCCGUCAAAACAUUAUCCUAGGUGAAAGGAGGAAUUUUAAUCAUUAUUAUUACCAAAACAAUGUUAGCCUAAAGGGCUAUACAUAAUGUAAUUUUGAUGAUAACAAACAUAUGUAUUAAGUAAUUUAAUAAAUAUUGUAUUUCACGUUUUCACUAGUUUUUUAAGGAUAAUAUUUAUGCAAGUGAAUCAAGUGAAAUCAAGAUUGAAGACACUCAACGGACAAAUUUGGACUUAAAUGCUAUUUGAGUAAUUUGGACUUAAAUGCUAAGAUUUGAAAUCUUUGUUUUUAAUAAGUAUUAAAUUUCAGAGUUGGACGUUUUUACAAAUAUUUGAAAUGUUUUGGGCCAUACAAUAAUUUAUGAAUAUUUUGGACUAAAGUGAAAGGUUUUGAGAAUUUUGAAAUAUAUGGGUAUUAUGUUGAAAAGGACCUUUGUGCGAAAUAAUAAAAUCUUUGGGGCCAUAUCAUAAUUUCAGAAAGGUUGGGAAAGACAACUAUCUUUAGGAAGUUCUGAAAUUGGACCUAUUUGUAAAGUUUUAUGACAUUUUGGGCUAUAGUAUAAUUAUAUAAAAGUUUGGGCCAAUGUGUAAUUUUAGUGAACAGUAUUACUGUAGCAAAUUCAAAAAUAACGGUAAUAUCACUGUUCCUGAGAGGCUAGCCGGAUAAUCAAGCGGCUAACCACUUGGGCGUGGAAAUUUGCCUAUAACGGCUAGUUUUCGGGCUUUCACUAUAAAAACUCAACUCAAACUUCAUUCUAAGAACUAAUGCAAGAAAAUAUAAGAUCAUAUAACAUAUAUUGAGCUUCCAAAACGCAAAUCAUUAUUGAUUGAAUCAUUAUUGAGCUAUUAUUUACAUAUCCACUCUUAAAGAGAGUUUCAUUAUUAUGAUUUUCAUUUCUCAUCAAAUUGUGAGUGUACAAGUGUGGGAAACACUUGGGGUGAAGAGAUUGGGGAUAUAAUCUCUUGUUGUAAAGAUCCAUUGACACCUUGGAAGUCAAUUGUAAACAUUUGAAGCCUUUGAAGGCAUGGAUAGUGAAAUCCUCAAGCCGGGUGAGCUUGGAGGCGUGGACAUAGGCGGGGAUAACCGAACCACGUAAAAAUCAUUGUGUUUGUUUUCUCUUCCCUUACUCUUUUAAUAUUGUGCUUUGUUGUGAAAAUUUUAAUAUACUCGCAAGCGCACGAAUCUAGAAAUAGAAUAGUGGUAACGAAGUCGAUCCCACAGGGAUUGUUAUAAAUUGAAAAGUCUAAUUUAAAUCUAAAAUUAAUAUUAAUUCUAACCUAGUUGAUCAAAUUGAGUUUUAAGAGAAAUUAAACUAAUUAAACUAAGGAAGCAAUUAAAAUAAAGGAGAAUUCAAUAAGAUAAGAAUUACCAAGGUUUCAGAAUCCACCACUAUUCAACUAGUAAUUAUCUAAUUAUUAAUUAAUCUCCAAUUUUAGAGUGACAACUCGAAAUCAAUCUAUGUCAUCUCAUGGAUAUAACAAUUAAGUCCAAGUAAUUAAAUCUAAUGUAGGUUCUUUUUCUGCUUAAUAGUAUGACAUCUAAGUGUCCCAUGUAAACAUAUUGAAUAACAAAGAGUCAAAAUUUUCCUAAGUACUAUGUGUAAACAAUUUAAUGAAAGAUAGAAUCAAAGAUAAUCAUGUAUAAACUUUAUAGAUCCAAGCAUAGAUUUAAUCGAAUAUUAAUCCUAACAAUCAAUAAUGCAUGACAGAAUUGAUGAAAAGAUUUUAAUAACAUUCAAUUAAUCAUAUGAAAUAAAAACCAUAAUCAUCAAAGAACAUAAAGAGGAAAUUAAAUAAAUAAAAAGAUAAUUAUUUCAUUGAAUAGGGUUUCAUCCUUAACCUCAGUAUAAGAAAAUUAGCUAAACAUACUUGAAUUGUGAGUAACAAAAGAAAUAAAUUCAGCCAUGGAAGCCGAAAUAUUGCUGCUGUCGAUUGCUCUCUUCCAGCCUUUUGUUUCCGUCCUCUGGCGGCUGCCCCCCUUGCAAAAGCCAAAGUUCGGCUUUUAUAUUGUAGCACCCUCCAAAAUCCUCAAAUCAAAAGGAUUUAAAACAAGCCAAGCACAACCGACCUUGAGACCAUGCACGUGGAGCCCACUUGAAAUUUUCAUUCUUUUUGUAAUGCCAUGCAAUUGCUUCUCACGUGCAGGCCACUUUAGCUUUAAAUUUCUUCUUUGUUUGCACUAGCAUGGAGAAUUCAAUUUAUUGGCCUCGGCUUCUUCGGAUUGAAUUUCAUACAUAUUUGCUUAACUGCUUCCACAAAUUGACUUGAUCUUCAAUGUUGUCCAGUUGUUAUUCUUUAUGCACUUUUCAUCCAUAAUCUCUAAUUAAUUCCCUAUGUAAUAAAAUAAUUCAAUUAAUUAAAAAUAACAAAUAAAAAUAAUUAGCAAUUAAAUAAUUAAGGGUAAAAUAUGUAUAUAAAUUAUGCUCAUCAAAUACCCCUAAACUUAGAUUUUGCUAGUCCUCGAGCAAAACUAAAACAAAAAAAUAAAAAUAAAAAAAUAAAAAAUAAAAAAUAAAAAAUAAAAAUAAAAAUAAAAAUAAAAAUAAAAAUAGCUUAGACAAAUGAGAAGAAUAGUGUAAUAAAAAAAACAACUCUACAUAGAUGCAUAGUCUCCAUUUCAAAAAAUCUAAUAAUUAUUCCAUCAUUCACCUAUAUUAGAAGCUUGGCCAUAAUUACUUAACUUCAUCAACUAACAGAGCAAUGACAAGUCACCAAUCAUUUUUCGUGAGAACUCAAAGCAUAGAACAAUUCACUCACUUAAUCUAUUAAUAAAAUGAAAUAAACAACCUAUACCUUCUGAGAUGAUUCUUGUACAGACUUCCCAAGAACAAGUUUUAUCAUUCUUUUCAACUUCUUGACUUCUUUCUCUAAGUCUUUUACUUUUACUUCCAAAUUACUACAUUGAUGCUUGUUACCUCCUUGACUUGGAGAACCAUACACAUCCUUGCCUUUGAAGCCUGCUCCCUAACCAACAACACGACGAUGUGCUAGUUCUCUUGUCACUUCUCGAAAUAUUUUCGAUUCAUCCACUGGCUAGCCUUGAUGUAAAACAGUGGAUCUCGUUGAUUCAAUUGUUUCCUAUAAUAAAUACAUACAUUUGUGUGAGUGCAUAUAGUAAUGAAAUCAUCCAAAUAAAACAGGAAUAUUCUGAAAAUUUAAUAUCAAAUACACACAUGCAUUUCCUUUGCCUUGUUACUUGCCCAUGUCCCCUUACAUGAAACAUCUUGAAUAAAUCAAGUGGACUAAGUUCAGUACCUAUUUGUUACUACAAUAAAGAAUUGAAAUUCAAUAAGAUCAUAAUAAAUAAACACACUUUUUUAUGAUCAAAGUCAAACAUUUUCUCUUCCCAUUUUUUCUCUAUGCUUAGCCAUUGGGACGAACUUGUAGUAUGAAUAAGUUUGGACUUGGUUCAAUUCCUCUUGUUCAUUGUGCUUGUUUUCUCUAUAUAAGUUUAAAAAAAAGCAUAAAAUCAACUUGGUUAUUCUGAACCCAUUGUUGAAUACUAGAGAAUGCAUAUUUAUAGAGGGUAAAAUCAUCAUUUCAUGCUCCAAGUCUCACUAACAUUUUCACUUUUAUGUGUUUAAAUCCUCUAAGCUUUUAUUAUGAGUAUUUUAUGUAUUUCAGGGAUAUUUUCGUCAUUUCAUGACUAACAAGAAGUUGGACAGCAAAACAGAUGGCAUUUAUGAACUCAAUAAUAGUUACAAAACCUACAUGAUAAAAAAAUAAUGCAGCAUGCACUGUACAGAGUCAUAAAAAAUUACCAUUUUUAACUUGCAAAAGGAAAAAAGGGAAUAUUUUUUCUAAUUUGCAAAGUGUUAAGCUCAUUUGUUUUUCAAGCCUAACCAAAUCUUCUUCUUUCAAAACCUUAGCACACGAUUCUCUGAAAAAUGUGCUAACUUCUAUCAAAGCAUCACAAUUUUGUUUAGGUAGUAAAACCUCUCACAUUGUAAGAGACAAUAAUCUCUCUAAGAACACGUGACAAUCAUGAGUCUUCAUACCCGAAAUUUUAUGCUCGAGUAUAUUCAGACAUCUUGACAAAUUAGCUGAAUAUCCAUUUGGAACUUGCACAUUCACUUGCCACUCACACAAUCUUUAACUCUUUUCAUUUGUCAAACUAUAAGAAGCAGUGGGCAAAAUAGGUUUUCUAUCAUCAUAUUUUGGGUGAAGCUCAUGCCUUAUAUUCAAGGAUUCCAUAUCAAGGCGAGCAUUUAGGUUAUCAUUUGUUUUGCCAUCAAUAUUAAAAAGUGUGCCAAUUAUAUUAUCGCAUACAUUUUUUUCAAUGUGCAUGACAUCCAAUUUAUGACCCAACAAAAGCGUUUCUAGUAUGGUAACUGAAAAAAAUACUAUGUUUUUUCUAAUUCUUGUGCUUUUCAAACUCAGGAAUGACUUGCUUUUUUCCCUGUUUUACCAAAUAUUAUUGGCCUUAAACUUUCAAGUUUAUUUAGCACUUGCUCACCCGAUGGUCUUUUCGGUGUAACUUUCUUUUCUAUCAUACCAUCAAAUUGGCUCUUUUGAAAUCUCCACUUAUGCCCAGUGAAAAACAUCGACGAUGCCUCAUAUAAUAUAUUUUUGAACUUUGAGGUAAUCUACGAUGAGCAGUCUUCUUAGCACAACAUGGGCAAGCCAACUUUCCUUUUGUGCUCCAACUAGAUGUAAGAUCAUAUCCAGGAAAGUCAUUAAUUGUUCCCAUAACAGCUGCUUUCAAUUGAAAAUUUAUACGUGUGGAAACAUCAUAAGUAUUCACUCCAUUUUCCCACAACGUAUUCAACCCAUCAAUUAAUGGCCUCAAGUACACAACAAUAUCAUUACCUGAGCCUUUUGGGCCUGGGAUAAGGAAAGACAUUAACAUAUACGACUCUUUUAUACACAUCCAAGGUGGAAGAUUGUAUGGAAAUAAAAGAAAACACCAACAGUUGUAUCCAACAUUCAGAUUUCAAAAAGGAUUGAAACCAUCAGUAGCGAAACCCAGUCGAACAUUACGGGGAUCGCUAUAAAAUGACUCAUAAAUGUGAUCAAAACUCUUCCAAGCCUUAAAAUAUAUAGAAUGCCUUAGCAGCCCAUCUUUAACAUGCUUUUCAGAGUGUCAUCUCAUGUGUGCAACAAUUUUAGAUGACAUAAAUAACCUUUGAAGUCUAGGUGUAAUUGGAAAAUAACAUAUAACCUUCCAAGGAACCUUUUUGGCUUUCCCUUCACCACCAUGCCUUUUGUCUUCCAUCUCGAAAGCCCACAAGUUGGACAUUGAGAUGCAUUCGCAUAUUCUUUAUAAUAGAUUAUACAAUUAUUCAUACAUGCAUCAAUUUUUUCAUAAUGCAAACUAAGAUCUUUAACUAUCUUUUUUGCAUCAUAAUUAGACGUAGGCAAUUUUUCACACAAGGGAAAUGCAUCCUUCAAAAUCUCCAAUAAUGUGUCAAAGGAUUUGUUACUCCAACCAUUAAUGUAUUUGACAUGCAUUAACUUGACAAUAAUAGAUAAGUUGGAAUAUCUUGUACAAUUUUAAUACAAUGGUUGUUGAGCCUCUUCUAAUAAUUUAUAAAAACUUAAUGCAUCAUUGCUAGGAUCUUAGGAAAAAACUUUCUUCAACUUGGCAAAACAUAUCAUCAUAUCCACCACCACCACCAUCAUCACUAUAAUAGUCACUAGGGGUGUUCGCGGAUUGGAUUUUACGGAUUAGACAUCAAUCCAUAUCUGAUCCAUAAUUUUGCGGAUUAUAAUUUUUCAAUCCAAUCCAAUCCACGGAUUGAUUAAACUCAAUCCAAAUCCAAUCCAUACAUCUGCGGAUCGAAUGCGGAUUUGACUCAAUCCAUAUCCAAUCCAUACGUCUGCGGAUUGGAUGCGGAUUUAACUUAAUCCAUAUCCAAUCCACCAUUUUGCGCAUUAGUUUCCGAAUUAAAAAUUUUUAGUUCUCCCCAAUCCAUGAACUAAUGAAAUUAAAAAAAUCUAAUAUAAAAAUAAUUUUACUACCAAUUAAAUUUAAAAUAUAAUAAAAUUUAAACAAAUUAAUUGUUUAAAUAAAACUAAAAUAAUACAUUCAAAGUUUCAAAAUAUAGCACAUCGAAAUUAAUUGUUCAAAUAAAGCUACAAUAAUACGUUUAAAGUUUCAAAAUAUAACACACUAAGAUUAAUUGUUCAAAUAAAGUUACAUAAUACAUUAAUAUAACACCGAAAUUAAUUGUUCAAAUAAAGCCACAAUUAAUUGAAAUGACGAAGUUUUUGAAACCAAAUACAGUCUGAUCCUUCACCAGGGCUAUUGCACUUGUCAAAAAGUGGUGAUUACGGAGCCGUCAACGAUGGGAACCAGGAGAAGUACGGGUGGCGAUCUUGAAGGUUGUGAUAGUGCAAUUGUUUGGCUAGAACCAGUGAUUGUGAAGUGGCUCGAUGGACUCGGGGAAGAAGAUGGCUUGCUCUCGUUGGAAUCACGUGGCUGACGUCCUUCAAAUCGGUGUCGAGAGUGUAUCAAACCAGUAUUAGGUGUUACUAGUGCGUGUGAUGGAGGGAAGCUUAGGGUUUUUUGUUUGCAAAUUGUUGGUGACGUGGCGUUACGUUAGUUUGCUUUUGGGUGACUUUGCAAAUUGUUGGUAACUUAGCGUUAUGUUACUUUGCUUUUGCUAGUGCGUGUGACUUUGCUUUUAUUUUGUUUUACAAUUUUUACAAGUUCUAUUUGUAUAUUGAUUAUUUAAUUAUUUUUUAUUUAAUAUUAUUAUUGGGCAAUGGUUAAGAUAUGUUAUAGUGCUUAUGUAACUAUGUAAUGUCACAUUUAUAAUAUUCUUUAAUUAAAUUUAUAAUAAUUUUUAACUAAAUAAAUAAAUAUAUAUAUAUAUAUAUAUAUUUUUUUUUUUUUUUUUUUUUUCAUCAUUAUCACCAUCAUUAUCACUAUCACUGUUACUUUUUCUAUUUUCCUAAUGACAAUAUCAAGUAGUGUAGUCCAAUCUCAUCCUUUUAUAUAAAAUAUGUCUUUCCACCUCACUUCAAACUAAUCUAUAUCUAUUGCUACACUUAACGAAUGGAUAUAGAAUUUUUUUUAUCCUCAUAUUUAAUGUGCCUAAAAGCAUAAUCAAGAA